AUGACCAGUCAACUCCUUGUAUUCAUCACACUAUUCUAUCACCUCAUAAUAACUUUGAGUGUAAGCGAUGCGGCGUCUUCAAACUGCUGUAGUGUGGUCACUGUGGUUGUCUGCAGCUAUUCAUAUACAAUAAAAUUAGGUCCCAGAGCUCUGUUUCUAACUCCCCUCAUACGGGACGGUAGAAUCGACUAGGCUCGGGAAGCAUGCAACGUGACGUUUUUGGACGUGGCUGUCGAGAGCUAUUCCGGUUACCUGACUGUGGACGAGGAGCACGGUUCUAACAUGUUCUUCUGGUUCUUCCCGGCCGCGAAAGAUAAGGCAAAUGCACCUGUUGUGCUGUGGUUACAAGGCGGCCCAGGAGCGUCCAGCCUGCAUGGCGUAUUCAACAUCAAUGGUCCAUUCUCGGCGUACAAGUGCGACGGCAGCAUGCUCAAGUUGCGUGACCAUGCGUGGACGAACACGCAUUCGAUGCUCUAUGUGGACAAUCCGGUAGGCACAGGCUUUAGUUAUACCGAGGACGAUUCUGGUUACAGUACCGACCAGACAGCCGUCGCCCAGAACAUGUACUCCGCCUUGGUACAAUUCUUCAAGCUGUUCCCCGAGUACCAGCUCAACGAUUUCUACGUGACCGGGGAGUCGUUCGCCGGUCACUACGUACCGGCCGUGUCGUACGCCAUCCACCAGAACAACCCCAAAGCAGAGGUCAAUAUCAACCUCAAAGGGUUGGCCAUAGGAAACGGCUUAGUUGAUCCUCUCAACCAGCUGUUUUACAGCGAAUACUUGCACAAAUACGGAUUGAUUGACGAAAACGGAAAGCGGAUAUUCGAACAAUAUGAGAGAACGAUUCGAGCUCAAAUCCUAGCUGGUGACUACAUGGAAGCUUUCCGGAGGUACGACGAGAUGUUGAACGGCAGAUUAUAUCAGAACCCGACGCUGUUUAAUAACCUGACCGGAAUGCAAUACUACUACAACGUGCUAUUGGACCGGCAACCUCCGUCGUUCAACGAUUGGAUGGAUUUCGUGGAAACACUGUCCGUAAGGUACGCGUUGCACGUGGGCCCACGGCGGCUUUACAGAAAUACGACGGUGGUCCAAAAGCACUUGCUUAGCAACGUGAUGCAAUCAGUGGCUCCGUGGUUGGCCAAUCUGUUAGAUUCCGACCAGUACCGGGUUCUGUUAUACAGCGGGCAGUUUGACAUCAAAUUUAAUCACCUGGGCAACAUGCGUAUGGCCCAGGCGCUCGAGUGGAAAGGUGCGGAACGAUUUAGGAAUAAUGCGACGCGUACCAUUUGGCGCGUUCCCCAACGGAAAACCGGAUGUGACGACGGAAACGAAACUGACGUGGCCGGUUACGCGACGACAUCAGGUCCGCUGACCGUGCUGUUGGUGAGGAAUGCUGGUCACAUAGUGCCAGCCGACCAGCCGGUUUGGGCUCUGGAUCUCAUCAACAGAUUCACGGCCGGCAAAACGUUUUGACCUACAGCAACCACGAUUUAUCGAUGAUAAUAUAUUUGAUUAAUAUUAUUAUA